UGGGGAAUAUUGCACAAUGGGCGCAAGCCUGAUGCAGCCAUGCCGCGUGUGUGAAGAAGGCCUUCGGGUUGUAAAGCACUUUCAGCGGGGAGGAAGGCGAUAAGGUUAAUAACCUUGUCGAUUGACGUUACCCGCAGAAGAAGCACCGGCUAACUCCGUGCCAGCAGCCGCGGUAAUACGGAGGGUGCAAGCGUUAAUCGGAAUUACUGGGCGUAAAGCGCACGCAGGCGGUUUGUUAAGUCAGAUGUGAAAUCCCCGGGCUCAACCUGGGAACUGCAUCUGAUACUGGCAAGCUUGAGUCUCGUAGAGGGGGGUAGAAUUCCAGGUGUAGCGAUGAAAUGCGUAGAGAUCUGGAGGAAUACCGGUGGCGAAGGCGGCCCCCUGGACGAAGACUGACGCUCAGGUGCGAAAGCGUGGGGAGCAAACAGG
rnacentral:rRNA from 1 species